GACGAACGCUGGCGGCGUGCUUAACACAUGCAAGUCGAACGGAAAGGCCCUGCUCUUGUUGGGUGCUCGAGUGGCGAACGGGUGAGUAACACGUGAGUAACCUGCCCUUGACUUUGGGAUAACUUCAGGAAACUGGGGCUAAUACCGGAUAGGAGCUCCUGCUGCAUGGUGGGGGUUGGAAAGUUUCGGCGGAUGGGGAUGGACUCGCGGCUUAUCAGCUUGUUGGUGGGGUAGUGGCUUACCAAGGCUUUGACGGGUAGCCGGCCUGAGAGGGUGACCGGCCACAUUGGGACUGAGAUACGGCCCAGACUCCUACGGGAGGCAGCAGUGGGGAAUAUUGCACAAUGGGCGGAAGCCUGAUGCAGCAACGCCGCGUGCGGGAUGGCGGCCUUCGGGUUGUAAACCGCUUUCGCCUGUGACGAAGCGUGAGUGACGGUAAUGGGUAAAGAAGCACCGGCUAACUACGUG
rnacentral:rRNA from 1 species